rnacentral:tRNA from 1 species
GGAGAGAUGGCCGAGUGGUCGAAGGCGCGCGCCUGGAAAGUGCGUAUACCUGUCAAAGGGUAUCGAGGGUUCGAAUCCCUCUCUCUCCGCCA